CCAAGUGACCACAAUUUAACGGCCGCGGUACCCUAACCGUGCGAAGGUAGCAUAAUCACUUGUUUCCUAAAUAGAGACUAGUAUCAACGGCAUCACGAAGACUACACUGUCUCCCCCCUAAAAUCAAUGAAACUAAUCUCCUCGUGAAGAAGCGAGGAUGAACAUAUAAGACGAGAAGACCCCAUGGAGCUUUAAACAAACUUCAAUUGCUUUCCCCCCCCCCCCC
rnacentral:rRNA from 1 species